CGUGUAGGCGGUUUUGUAAGUCUGAUGUGAAAGCCCUGGGCUCAACCUGGGAAGUGCAUUGGAUACUGCAAGACUUGAGUACGGGAGAGGGAAGUGGAAUUCCUAGUGUAGGAGUGAAAUCCGUAGAUAUUAGGAGGAACACCGGUGGCGAAGGCGGCUUCCUGGACCGAUACUGACGCUGAGACGCGAAAGCGUGGGGAGCAAACA
rnacentral:rRNA from 1 species